rnacentral:rRNA from 1 species
UACGGAGGAUCCAAGCGUUAUCCGGAUUUAUUGGGUUUAAAGGGAGCGUAGGUUGACAUAUAAGUCAGCUGUGAAAGUUUACGGCUCAACCGUGAAAUUGCAGUUGAUACUGUAUGUCUUGAGUGUACAAGAGGUGGGCGGAAUUCGUGGUGUAGCGGUGAAAUGCUUAGAUAUCACGAAGAACUCCAAUUGCGAAGGCAGCUCACUGGGGUACAACUGACACUGAGGCUCGAAAGUGUGGGUAUCAAACAGGAUUAGAUACCCUGGUAGUCCACACAGUAAACGAUGAAUACUCGCUGUUUGCGAUACACAGUAAGCGGCCAAGCGAAAGCAUUAAGUAUUCCACCUGGGGAGUACGCCGGCAACGGCGAAACUCAAAGGAAUUGACGGGGGCCCGCACAAGCGGAGGAACAUGUGGUUUAAUUCGAUGAUACGCGAGGAACCUUACCCGGGCUUGAAUUGCAGAGGAACAUAGUUGAAAGAUUAUGGCCGCAAGGUCUCUGUGAAGGUGCUGCAUGGUUGUCGUCAGCUCGUGCCGUGAGGUGUCGGCUUAAGUGCCAUAACGAGCGCAACCCUUAUCAUUAGUUACUAACAGGUCAUGCUGAGGACUCUAGUGAGACUGCCGUCGUAAGAUGUGAGGAAGGUGGGGAUGACGUCAAAUCAGCACGGCCCUUACGUCCGGGGCUACACACGUGUUACAAUGGGGGGUACAGAGGGCAGCUACCGGGCGACCGGAUGCCAAUCCCAAAAACCUCUCUCAGUUCGGAUCGAAGUCUGCAACCCGACUUCGUGAAGCUGGAUUCGCUAGUAAUCGCGCAUCAGCCACGGCGCGGUGAAUACGUUCCCGGGCCU